GCAUGUGCACGCCUGGCUCAUCCACUCUCAAACCCCUGUGCACCUUUUGUAGGCUUCGGCAGAGAGGACUGACUUCGGUCGGUUCAGGAAGCCUUGUGCCUAUGUCACACAUACAAACGCUUCAGUUUAGAAUGUAACGAAUCGUGCGCCUCGGUGCAACGAAAUAAAUACAACUUUCAGCAACGGAUCUCUUGGCUCUCGCAUCGAUGAAGAACGCAGCGAAAUGCGAUAAGUAAUGUGAAUUGCAGAAUUCAGUGAAUCAUCGAAUCUUUGAACGCACCUUGCGCUCCUUGGUAUUCCGAGGAGCAUGCCUGUUUGAGUGUCAUGAAAUUCUCAACCUUUGAAGCUUUUUUUUGAGCUCGCAAAGGCUUGGACUUGGAGGUCGUGUCGGCUCGUAACAAAGUCGACUCCUCUGAAAUGCAUUAGUGUGAAACCUUCGCAGGAUCGCCUUCGGUGUGAUAAUUGUCUACGCCGUCGGUCGUGAAAGUCGAAACAUACGUGUUCACGCUUCUAAUCGUCCGUCGAGGACAAACUUUUUUCUUGACCAUCUGACCUCAAAUCAGGUAGGACUACCCGCUGAACUUAAGCAUAUCAAUAAGCGGAGGAAAAGAAACUAACAAGGAUUCCCCUAGUAACUGCGAGUGAAGCGGGAAAAGCUCAAAUUUAAAAUCUGGUGGCCUUCGGUCAUCCGAGUUGUAGUCUGGAGAAGCGUCUUCCGCGCUGGACCGUGUACAAGUCUC
rnacentral:rRNA from 1 species